UAUACAUCCGGCUGUUUUCGCGUGUUUUCAUCGUGAUUGCCCGGUUCUGCUAUCUUAGUGCUUUGGUUGGUUUUCCCUAUGAAAAUUUUCCUCCUCAACCAAUGGUUCUGCUGCACUUGUCUCAUCGCGUUAAGCAUCACGUCUCUGCCGUCGAACGCUUCCAUCGGAUGAUCUUCGUUCGGAAUUCCAUAGAAAUGGUUCGGCGUAAGGGCAGGUUUUGAUGGGUGCCUUCGUCAGUGGCUGGGAGUUGACGACAUCGGUCGCAUCGAUGAACUUUGCACCGCGAUCACUAACGCGCCACGACAUUCCUAGAAACCCCCAGUCGAGGCGCCCGUGGACAAAAUCGCACGCUUGUCCGUUCGGGUCCCCUGUUGCAACGUAUCCAUCCGAUUACGGAUUUCGAAGCCACCUUUCGCUUCGAUUAUUCGAACCUCUUCCGGUAAUUCUCGUUCAUCGUUUUUGAGGGUAUGUUUCCUGGCGUUUUGGCCUCACCUAGCGAAUUGGUUGUGAAAUACCUUUUUUUGUAGAUUGUCUGGUUCAUGUGAGAAUAUGUGGGAAUUGCCCUAAGUAUUUGCGUCUUGCCGCAAGGAUCCACGGGGAUACGGUCCGAAGGCGAUCCAACCUAAGCGGGUUUUGAUGGCGGCUGGCUCCUGUUUCUUUCCCUCCACGAACGCAAAUGGACGCAUUAGCUGACAAUUAUCAAUGCCGAUGAGAAUUCGCGGUAUCACGUCGGAAUAAGAUCGCAACUUUAGACCUUCCAGAUACUUUCUAGACGUAGCAUCUACUGAGAACGAUUGUGAAGUCUCACCGGUCCCUCUGAUGCACAACGGAUGCGGUGUCGCUUUAAGACCUAGUUCCCCGAUCAAACUCUCUUCAAUGGACGUUCCCGUUGAACCAAUAUAAAAAAACGCGUACGUCUCCACGGCCUUAUUGUCGCCAAAUACAACCACAGGUACGUAUUGCAAUAAGACUCCUCCGCUAGUGGACGAAUGGGUGUAUACAAUAACCUUCCUUGCUGGUGUACACGCGUCGUCAGUGGGUAUUGGCGCAGGCGAGGCCGUAGUACUGGUUCGGUUUCGUCCCUUAUCGUGUAACAGUUGAUGGUGUAUAGAUCUGCAACCGUCUACACCCCACUGUUUUCGCGAUCUACAUCUGCCUCCGUCUUAACGCAGGCAGUAUAUUUGACUCUGCUUCCACGUCGGAAGCGUUCGAUGUGUGGGCUGAGAGCUGAGGAUGCGUGUUGAAUCCAUCAGACAUUGCUGAGGCAAAUCUGCUGGGUUUGACGUCGUCCUUGUGUGCCCACGUUGACUCUCGGCACGAUCGAAGGCAUCGCUAUAAACUCGCUACGCGUUCAACUGCAAAACACUUCCUUGAAGCCUCUCCGACUUUAGUUUUACUAUCUGUAUCUGGAGAUCGUUUUCUCGGUGCAGGAUAUCGGAAUCCAUCACUGCUACUUCCUCCCAGCUCAUCUGAAACGGAUCAAGCGACGUUUGUCGACCAUCGAGCCAUGGCUGUGGAUUUCGCUGUGAUGGCGUAGUGACACUAGUCGAUGGCGUCGGUUGGCGUCUCUCAAUGUGUGAUGUUAUCGGUAGAUUUGGUAUGGUGGAUGUGAAGUUGAGUGGUGCGGCAUUCGUCAGCGUAAUCGGUGUCGCGAGUGUGGAAGAGUGUCCCGUUCUUACGUCGUCUUCGCGAGUCGCGCUAACCGUGGUUGCUGGGGCCGGGGUUGACCCCAUUUGAUCCCGGGUCGGUGGUGUGUGCCGCGAACGAUUGCGGCGCUUGGCGUGGAUUUCUACCCAUACUGCUGGGAUCUGCAGUAGGCAGAUCUACCUGUUCCAGCCUGGUCUACCUGGAAAUUGUCUGCGUCGCGUAUCUUCAAUGGUGAUGUGUUCGCUUCCCGUUCCGACGCUAGGCUCUCGCGAUUUAGAAUCGCUCACAAAUGACACUUAGCGUCUUACGGUACGAGAAUUCACUCCUAGCGAUCGCUUAUUAUGGACCACGACCGUACUAUCCGCGCGCGUAAACGAGUUCGAGUGACUUAUGUGAUUCGGAAUCACAAACGGACUGUCCGGAGUUUGUUCCGCAUGAUACUUCGGUUAUGGUUACGACACUUAGCUGCGGUGUUGUCCUAGUGUUCUUACGCGACGUACGUGUGUGCGUGGGAUUACGGUUUCGCUACCGUUACAUUUAUUGAGCAGAGUGCAGAAACAGCGUCUAGCUUCGGUGGCUGGCAGAACUCAACUGAACUUUUAUUCUAGCUCAAGGUAUUUACAGGACGGGUGUAUACAUACAGAUUUAUAGCAAUGGAUUAUAGUACACAGGGUUGAAUUGACAUCACAACACUCCCCCUCGAUUCAACAUUUCUAAUAAUCCUAAGUUCAUCCUUUGUUUUAUGAAACUGUGUUUAGGUAAUCCUUUCGUCAUUAUGUCAGCCUGUUGUUCGGUUGAUGCUAUGUACUUUAAAAUAAUCCUUCCACUUUUUAUCUUAUCUCUUACAAAGAAAUGUUUUACAUUCACAUGCUUCAACCGUCCUAAAUUACGCUCAUCUUCGGCUAUGCGUAUUGUAGAUUGAUUAUCCUCAUAGUAAGGAACUGGAUCACCAAUUUCAUAUCCUAAAUCCUCAAGCACUCGUUCUAACCAUGUUCCGUGACAUACAGCAUUCGUGAGGGAAAUCAAUUCAGCUUCUGUAGAAGAUAAUGCUAUGGUUGAUUGCUUUCUUGUUAGCCAACUAACAGUUGCUCCAAAUACUUUGAAUAUGUAUCCUGAUAGCGAUUUCCUGUCAAUCUUAUUACUAGCCCAGUCUGCAUCAGCGAAUGCUCUUAAAAUUUCGUUUUCAUUGUUUCCAUCGUACGUCAAUUUCAAAUUCAGUGUUCCCUUAAUGUAUCGUAACACUCU